rnacentral:rRNA from 1 species
UACGAAGGGGGCUAGCGUUGCUCGGAAUUACUGGGCGUAAAGGGCUCGUAGGCGGCCAACUAAGUCGGAUGUGAAAUCCCCAGGCUUAACCUGGGAACUGCAUCCGAUACUGGAUGGCUUGAAUUCGGGAGAGGGAUGCAGAAUUCCAGGUGUAGCGGUGAAAUGCGUAGAUAUCUGGAGGAAUACCGGUGGCGAAGGCGGCAUCCUGGACCGACAUUGACGCUGAGUGAGCGAAAGCUAGGGGAGCAAACGGGG